GACUAAACUGUCUCUUACGGAUAUUCAAUGAAAUUGAUCUUUCAGUCCAAAAGCUGAGAUACCUACACCAGACGAGAAGACCCUGUGGAGCUUCCUAAACCAAUAUCAACCCCUAUGGUUAUGCGGUUUUUAGUUGGGGCGACUUCGGAGAACAAAAAAACCUCCAACUUGNAAAUUUUCCUAAUUAAGAUCUACACAUCUAAAUAUACAACUUGACCCAGUAGGCAUUAUCCCUAUCUGACCAAGGAACCAAGUUACCCCAGGGAUAACAGCGCUAUCCUCUUUUAGAGUCCCUAUCGACAAGAGGGCUUACGACCUCGAUGU
rnacentral:rRNA from 1 species